rnacentral:rRNA from 1 species
CCUACGGGUGGCAGCAGUAGGGAAUAUUGCUCAAUGGGGGAAACCCUGAAGCAGCAACGCCGCGUGGAGGAUGAAGGUUUUCGGAUUGUAAACUCCUGUUGUUAGAGAAGACAAUGACGGUAGCUAACGAAUAAGCACCGGCCAACUCCGUCCCAGCAGCCGCGGUAAUACGGAGGGGGCAAGCGUUAUUCGGAAUCACUGGGCGUAAGGAGCGCGUAGGCGGGAUAGCAAGUCAGAUGUGAAAUCCUAUGGCUUAACCAUAGAACUGCAUUUGAAACUGUUAUUCUAGAGUAUGGGAGAGGUAGGUGGAAUUCUUGGUGUAGGGGUCAAAUCCGUAGAUAUCACGAGGAAUACUCAUUGCGAAGGCGACCUGCUAGAGCAUAACUGACGCUGAUGCGCGAAAGCGUGGGGAGCAAACAGGAUUAGAUACCCGAGUAGUC